rnacentral:rRNA from 1 species
UACGGGGGGGGUAAGCGUUGUUCGGAAUUACUGGGCGUAAAGGGCUCGUAGGCGGCCAACUAAGUCAUACGUGAAAUCCCUCAGCUUAACUGGGGAACUGCGUGUGAUACUGGAUGGCUUGGAUUUGGGAGAGGGAUGCGGAAUUCCAGGUGUAGCGGUGAAAUGCGUAGAUAUCUGGAGGAACACCGGUGGCGAAGGCGGCAUCCUGGACCAAUAUUGACGCUGAGGAGCGAAGGCCAGGGGAGCAAACGGGG